AGCGAAAGAAACAGAGAGAGAGAGAGAGAGAGAGAGAAAGAGAGAGAGAUGCCGAUGGGAAGACAGCGCAGGGGAGAGGUAUGGGUGAUGGAUUUCAAAACUGGGAAAGUGGGUUUUGUCUUCUCGGUUUUGACUGAAUUCGAGGGUUGUUGUGUACAGUUUCAUUUGCUGUCCUUGAAUGAGGGUUUGGGGGGGAUGGAGACUCUGACAGAGAGCGGAAGAAAGAGAGAGAGAGAGAGAGAGAGAGAGAGAUGAUGAUGGAAAGAGAGCGAAGGGGAGAGGUAUGAGUCAUGGAUUUCAGAAGUGGGAGAGUGGGGAUGGUCAGAGAAAACCAUACGGGUUAUCCGGAUCUACCGCUGCAUGCCUGGAUUUCGAAAGAUAAGUGCUUUUUAAAUUUUUUUUUUUUUUUUUUUUUCUAUCAGCUUAGAAAGAUAAGUGAUUUCGAAAGAUAAGUGGAUUAUUUUCGAAUUUUUUAGUGUGUUAGGUCAGAUUUUGGGGGAAUCAUCAGAGAUAUUAAUUUCCCUUAUUAGUUUGCUUUUCUCUCAUUUUGCACAUUCAUCUCUAUGUCUGCCUGUUUGUUCUCUGUCUUAAGGUCGGUUCUUUUUUUUUUUUUUUUUUUUUUGGGGGUUUUUUGUAUGGCUUUUUUUUUUUUUUUUUUCCUUUUUGUUUUCCAGGUUAUAGAUCUAAUGCUCUUUUGUAUACCAAUCUUGGUUUUGUUUUUCUUGGAAAAUUGUUUUUAUCUGAUUGUGGAUUCGUGGGUUUUAAUUUCUAUGGUUUGUUGCAGGUUGCAAAGCAAGAGGUUCUCACCUCAAGAUUCGGUUUAAGACCAUCAUGAGGAUCACCACACCCAUGAUCAUGUUCAUGAUCCUGGUGUUUCUUCUGUCAGCAUAGUUUGUGAAGGGAACUUAGAACUUGAAAAGGCUAACAUAUGGCUUGGUACACUGUUGUUGAAACGAAGUGAAGACAUAUAUCGUAUGAAAGGUCUUCUAUCAGUUCAAGGAAUGAAAACGAGAUUUGUCUUCCAGGGUUUAGGUGCUCUGAAAAUGCCCACCCAUAUUUUUUUUACACCAAGUGUAUAUGGCAACCCAGGCAUUCCAACUUGCUCAGGGAAAUACUUCAUUUAAGGAAAAGCCUGAAAUAAUGUUGUCAAGUGCUAUACUGAAGCUAUCAGAUUGAACAUGAUGUGUGCAACUUAGAUUGCAACCAUGCAAUUGCUUACUUGGAGAUUUAUUCUCUACGAUUAUCUGGUUAGGGUAAGCAUUUUGGUGAGCUUUGAUUUUGUGAGGCUCUGGAAACAAUAUAGUUCUUGAGCUAAUGUGAAGAUUUUGGGUUGAACAUUGUGCUGUGAAGAUAUUGGGUUUAAUAUUUGAUUCCGUUUUUCAUUUUGCACUUACAAAAACAGAGGAUUGUGGUUAAUUAUUGUGAUGUGAAGCUUCUAUUUGAUGUCGACUUAAUGAGUAGCGAUGUAAAUUAAACUACGUAUUUUAUGGAUCAAUUCACAUAUCUCUUGCUUUUUCUUUCA